GCUAGUAAUGCUCAUUUCCUCACAGAAAAAGCUAAACACAGCGGCCUUACGUGUCAGAGAAAUAAAAAAGAAAUAACGUUACUGUCGGACUGAUACACGGGUAUUUAAUUCAUUAUAUUGAUAUGUUUUCUUAAAUGAUGGACGCCAUGAACUCGGUUGAUUUUCAAACACAGUUGACAUCCAUAAUGGAAACGAUGGCGAAAACAGCUGUAGCUGAAAUAAGCAAACUGCUGGAGGCGAAUUGUUUGUUUUUGCGCUUAGAGAUAUCGCGAUGCACGCGUGAAAACGACGCUCUGCUGCAGAAAUGUCAGGAUUUGGAGAUUGAACUUCAAGCCGCCCGGAAAAACGCCGUGAAGAUGGACAGCAAUGAAGCUUCAUUCACACAUUCAGAACUGACAGACGCUGGGCAUCAGCCUGUGGUUGACAGUGUGUUUGGUAAGGAAUGGUCCAUGAACAUGUGGCGACACGAGUCGAAUGUUGGUCAACAUGAGAAUGAACAUGUAGUCUCUUCAGUCAACACAACACAGUCAGCAAAUUUGCUACAUGAGAAACCAGACAUGGUCUUGAUUAAAGAGGAGAUGUUCGAAGAUUGCUAUGGGAGGAAUAAAACUGAAGAAGACCAAGGAAACAGUUUGAGAGAAAUGCUGGUUCAAGUGGAGUGUAAAGGAGACCCAAAAUGGAUCCGGAUCCCAGUGAAAAACGACUGCUAUGACUUCGACAAAUUCAUUAUAGAAGCCUCAAUGAAGUUUAACCUGCCACGUGGAACCAGUGUGGUCCUUAAGAACUCUGAAGGAUUUGAUGUUGAUGCUGAUGUUUUCGACGAAUUAGUGAGAACAACUAAUGCGUCUUUCAAAAUUCUGUGUAGUGAUAAAUCAGAUUAUGUUGUCCAAGAUGAGUCGGAGAUCUCUGUGUCCUCAUGCCCCGAGUUGUCCUCAUCAUCAGUGAAAUCAAAAUAUUCAGACUCUACAGCGAUUCCACAAUCUGUAAAGACACGCAAAAGACAACUGCUAGAGGAAAAUCCUGACUGUAAUGUGGCAAAAGAUCUGGUUUACGCAGCUCUGCACUCAAAACUAGGAGGAUUUGAUAUAUUGAAAGAGUAUGAGCAAACCAACACGCUGUCUGAUAAGACACGAAGAAAGCUGGUCAACAUCCUUGUGGCAGAUAUGGUAGAGAGUCAUGGGAGGAUCCCACCAGUUAAUAUCCGGAUAAGCUACGCUCUUGGAAUUAUUACUCUUUUCCCCCAUUUGAAGGAUAAGUGCUCACCAACUGGUUAUGAACAAUACUACGAUCCACGCAGUGGCCUGGGUUACCUUGCCUACCGAUUGAAAACUGUUCAGCGCAACUCUGGAAAUCACUGUAAGGUCGCAUCCAAGUUCGUUUAUCAAGAUGGUCCGAAGACUUUGCGUGAGAUAUCUUCAUCUGAGCAGCUGUCGGGUGAUGAAUGCACAGAAGCCAUAUCCCUAAUGAAGCGUUCUACGGACAAGACAGUUAUUAUGGAGAGAAUGAGAGCAACAUUCAAGUACAGACAGAAUGAGAUGCAUGAUCCAGAGAAGUCUUCAUCCAUCCUUGAAUACUUUCCUCGAUUCUUGGAUACACCAGGAUUGAUUGAUCAGGACUUUAAAAUGCUUUUUGGAGAUGAAAUCUCAAGCAACUUUGUUUCGAAUUGGCCAACGUUCUACAAGCCAAGGAUAAUAGCUAACUGCAGAAACAUGCCGUUUGGUGCACAUGUGGAUGAUCUUCUGUUUGGUCAACAGGAGUCUGACUAUGGAUGGGACAGUGACGUGGCAGCUAUUCUCUUGCUCGUUCAACUGUUACCUCCAACAGUAAAAACAAGGAAGUUAGGGAAAGUCAGUACGGCUCAAGCCGCUGGUCGUGUUGUCAAGUUCAUGAAGGUGGGGAUGAACAUAAAUGCGUUCCUCGAGCAAGUUGGAUCAACAAAGCCCUUCCUCCUCUGUGUCGGGGAGUCAAGGAGUAGCAUUCAGAAGUUUUAUGUCAUCGUGGACCAGAAAGCGAUUCCCUGCACGAUGAAGACGGCUUUUGCAGCGUUUGAUGAACUCUUUAAGGCACACUUUGUCUUUGCUGCAUCCUAUGAUGAGGCCUUGUACAACUUCUACACAUUUAUUCAAACAACCGUGUAUGGGAUUGAUGUGGGCACUGCCAAGGAAAGUCCGAGAGUCAAAGAAAUCCGAGUGAGAAUUCAGAACACUGAGCUUUGAAUGUGUUUCAGCUCCAAUGUUGACCUGCCACGUUUGCAGGGUACACCAGAAGUUACGUUUUACUUCAACAGAUGAAGUUUCAUGGUUUGUACCCAGACCCGAUGUGAGAAGCAAUGAGAGGUGUGCGGCCGAGAGCUCAGCAGAUUUUAUCACAUACACGAUACCCUCAGAUGACCAAGUACGAUCGGACAUACAGCAGAGACAAGCUGAAGAACAAGCUCUUGAUGCAAGACCUUUAUCACGUGGAGACGGUACAACAGAGCUUCAUUUCAACACUAGCCAGAACCAAACAUGUAAUAAAGAAGAGAAAAUGUUUGAAUGCGUAUUCUGUAGAAAAGCCUUCAACAAGUUAAGUUAUCUGAAAACACACAUGCGGACACACUCCGGAGAAAAACCUUUUGCCUGUACAGUCUGUGGCAGACGAUUUGCCCAGAAAACAUAUCUCCGAAUACACCAGCGCAUUCAUUCUGGUGAGAAGCCAUACACGUGCAUGGACUGUGGAAAGAGUUUUGCCCAAAAAAGCGCUCUUAACGUUCACCUCCGAAGUCACACUGGAGAAAAACCUUAUAGUUGUGUCGAAUGUGGUAAACGUUAUAAGUACAAACAGGAUUUUAAUACACACCAGUGUGUUAGACUAUUACAUUCUGAGGUGAAGGAUUUCUGAAUUCAAGACCUAAUGAUACUGUUAAAGACCCACUGAACCUUUAAAAUAAAUAUUUUUAAAGAUU